GUGGACUGUGAUUCUACGGUAAUUUGACCAUAGAGGAGUUUGUGUAGUCACUCUAGUUGUGGAAAGCCUUAAACAGGAAGCUGAGACAGCCCCAGCUGAAGUAGCAGCUGCGUUUCAGAGAGCAGCCUUAGCCACUCAUCACGCAGGACUCCAGAGCCAGCAUUCUGCCUCUGCCAGCAGCAGGUAAUGGCAGGGAAGCUCCCUCCUGUAAAUACCACUUGCCCCUGCAGCAGACUCCAGCCAUGAGGAGAGCUCUGGUGUGAAAGUUGUUUUAUCCGUCUGCAACGAAGUCUUCACUGAAUGAAUGAAGUCAUCACUGAAGACAUCAUUCUUGUCGUCAUCCUUGUUCUGAGGUGGUGGUGGCAGGGUGAUUUUAGGAGCACGGCCUUUAGAAGAAAAGAAUUUAUAAAAAAAGUUUUUUGAAGUGCUAGUUUUGCAUGGUUCCUUUUCAGAAGACAGCUGGAACAGUUUGCUUUAAAGCUUUUGUUUGUGUUAUGUAAUGAGGAAAAAACCCCUACAAAUCAGUCACACAGAAAGCAAGUGACUGGUGUCUUCUGAAACACUUAUUUUCUAAAUUACCUUGUUUAUGCCCAAACUAGGUAUUUUUCAGGUUAAGUGUAAUAACUUCAGAAGAAAUUCAGAAGUAUCAGUUACAGAAGUACUUUUUUCUCAUUGAAAAUAUACCCACAAUGUAAUCUUUGCCAAAUUAUUUCACUGCUUGUCUUGCACAGUUGAAAGGUUUUCAGUUGCCUUACCCAUACUAAACUGACAUCCUAGCAA